UCGGGAAUUUUGGGCAAUGGGCGAAAGCCUGACCCAGCAACGCCGCGUGCAGGAAGAAGGCGUUAUGCGUUGUAAACUGCUUUUGCCAGGGGAUAAAAAGACCGUGCGCGGUUAAUUGAAGGUACCUGGUGAAUAAGCCACGGCUAACUACGUGCCAGCAGCCGCGGUAAUACGUAGGUGGCAAGCGUUGUCCGGAUUUAUUGGGUUUAAAGGGUGCGUAGGUGGCCCUGUAAGUCAGUGGUGAAAUAUCUCAGCUUAACUGAGAGGGUGCCAUUGAUACUGCAGGGCUUGAGUACAGAUGAGGUAGGCGGAAUUGACGGUGUAGCGGUGAAAUGCAUAGAUAUCGUCAAGAACACCGAUAGCGAAGGCAGCUUACCAAGCUGUAACUGACACUGAGGCACGAAAGUGUGGGGAUCAAACAGGAUUAGAUACCCACGUAGUCCCUGAGCGGGCUGGCAAGGCGCAU
rnacentral:rRNA from 1 species